UCCGGUUGGCUCUGACUGGAAGGUUGAAUAUUGAGUGUCCUGGGAGGUCAGAUUGCUGUCAGACAUGACUGAUGGACAUGGACAUAGACAUGGUAAAAUGGAACUUCCAGAUUACAGACAGUGGAAAAUUGAAGGGACAGCAUUAGAAACGGUGCAGAAGAAGCUUGCUGCACGAGGGCUGAGAGAUCCAUGGGCUCGCAAUGAGGCUUGGAGAUACAUGGGCGGCUUUGCAAGCAACAUCACCUUCAGGAGUGUAAUACUAAAAGGAUUCAAAUGGGGGUUUGCUAUGUUUGUGGCAGCUUUAGGGGCUGAAUAUUUCCUGGCUUCCUGGAAUGCUUCCCAGAAUGCUGAUAAGAAGCACCACUGAAGAGAGCACCUUGUGACGUCUCGAUGAUAAAAAUAAGAUUCUCUCACUGUAGCAUCCUUGGCUGUAUGUUUGUCCUUGAAAGAAUAUUAGUAUGGUUUAAUAAAGUAAGGAAAACUCUUAAAAAA